rnacentral:ncRNA from 2 species
GGUCACGAGUACCAGCGACAAGCCCCGGCUAGCUGGUCGGCAACCCUCCUCCGCGGUGGGGUGCUCCGGGUGACGACCAGGCCGCCGUCCGCAGUGGGCGCGGCAAGCGCGGACU